rnacentral:rRNA from 1 species
CCUACGGUGAGCAGCAGUCGAGAAUCAUUCACAAUGGGGGAAACCCUGAUGGUGCGACGCCGCGUGGGGGAAUGAAGGUCUUCGGAUUGUAAACCCCUGUCAUGUGGGAGCAAAUUAAAAAGAUAGUACCACAAGAGGAAGAGACGGCUAACUCUGUGCCAGCAGCCGCGGUAAUACAGAGGUCUCAAGCGUUGUUCGGAAUCACUGGGCGUAAAGCGUGCGUAGGCUGUUUCGUAAGUCGUGUGUGAAAGGCGCGGGCUCAACCCGCGGACGGCACAUGAUACUGCGGGACUAGAGUAAUGGAGGGGGAACCGGAAUUCUCGGUGUAGCAGUGAAAUGCGUAGAUAUCGAGAGGAACACUCGUGGCGAAGGCGGGUUCCUGGACAUUAACUGACGCUGAGGCACGAAGGCCAGGGGAGCGAAAGGGAUUAGAUACCCGGGUAGUC